GCUGGUGCUGCUGCUGCCCGGGAGCCCGGCCCGCGGCCCGGCGCGCAGGAGGAGGCAGGAGCUGGUGCUGGGGCAGCUCUGCUUGCUCGGCUCGCUCCUGCUGCUGCUCUCCUCGCUCUCCUGCUGGGCUGGCAGCGCCGGUUAUGAUGUCCUGAGUUAUACCAUGGAAACUAAUGACAAGUGGCAUGGGAGAAAAGUACUUCAAGCAAUUGAGGAGAAUGCCACUGAAAUUCCAGAGGAUGACGAGCAUCAGUACAUCAAGAACUGCACUGAACCAGGUACCUUGGGCAGAUGUCUGUGUUGUUGAAACGUCAUGCAAGAUUUUUUCCAUGGGUACAAAAUUGAAGUGGACAGAGAGUUAUGCUACUCAGAUGUUUGCUAUUACAAAAGGUUUAUAAACUUGCAGUGGUGAAGUUAAGGCAUAGCACUAAGUUAUGAAUAGCACUAAAAGUUUUUAAGACACCCGUUAUUUAAUAGGCUUUACUUUAGCAUAUGAGUAAAUCCCACAACUACUAAGGGGCCUUCUCAUAUGAAUAAAGAUAUAAAUGUGUGUGUAAAUGUUCCCA
rnacentral:lncRNA from 1 species